AUUUAGGCUUGCUCCAGCUUUCCCCAGUCAGGUGUGAGGGGGAGAGCUGGAGACAAAGGAGCUACAGAUCUGAAAAGAUCCAGUGAGUUUGGAGCCCUGAAGCUGCCAUGCUCUCAACUGUUAAUGGAAUUGGUGAGUAGUGGACACAAUGUUGUUUUGUUGUUUUAGCAUGUUGGUGGUAGCCAAUGCUAAUUGUUGUAUGAUCUAACGUCUUAAAUUCAACAUAUUUAAGAAAAUGAGAUAAAUAUUACUUUAUUUGGUCUGACAGAUUAGAUCUAUUGCAUUUAUCUAUGAGUAUAACUGAAAAGAAAGUCUAGUUAACUAGCAGGCUGGAAAUUUACUGGUCCUGUUUAUUUUAAUACAGGCCAGGUGAUCCCCUUUUUUAGGGUAAAAGAUGGCGAGCUUCUGAAAACUGGCUGGAGCCAGGAGAGCCCUAAGAAUCACUUCAUCCUGGUCUGAAUCAGUUCCCCCUCCAUCUCACCACUCAGGCACACACUCCAUUAUUCAUCUCUUUAUCUGAAAGAACUUGCGCUGGGACAUUGUCAACUUAAAUAUCUGGAUAAUCCAACCAUGGACUUCUGAAUGUGCGUCGGUCAGACUUUGGACUGACCAGCGGGGAAGUUGAGACCAGUUGUGCACAAAUCAAUGAAGGAUUGCCGCAGUACUGUGUAUAUAUUUUUUUGUAUUUAUUUUGGGUUCUAAGUAUGUCUUGUAUUGUUCACUUUAAUUUUUUUCUUCAAAAUACAUA